UACGUAGGGGGCUAGCGUUAUCCGGAAUUACUGGGCGUAAAGGGUGCGUAGGUGGUUUCUUAAGUCAGAGGUGAAAGGCUACGGCUCAACCGUAGUAAGCCUUUGAAACUGAGAAACUUGAGUGCAGGAGAGGAGAGUAGAAUUCCUAGUGUAGCGGUGAAAUGCGUAGAUAUUAGGAGGAAUACCAGUUGCGAAGGCGGCUCUCUGGACUGUAACUGACACUGAGGCACGAAAGCGUUGGGAGCCAACGGG
rnacentral:rRNA from 1 species